CAGACCAAAAAGCCCAAAUUUGGGCAAAUCCACCCCAAAAAUCCCAGAGGAGGGGAGGAAUUCCUGCUGCACCUGUGCCAGCCUUAGGAAUAUCCAUAAAUAAAAUCCAUAAAUCCAUAUCCAGACAUCCCUGGGAAAAGCCAGGGAUUUUCCAUUUGGAGCUGAAAUGUGGAUAAUUAAUCAUUUCAAUAUUUUGGUGAAAAUUCCCUUUUUUUUCCCCCUCUAGAUCCCACCUUGGGGUCUCCUUUGCCUCAGGGAGAGCUGAAUCCCUCUGAUCCUGAUGCUGCUCACCCUGAAUUCCAGGGAAUUCCAGGGAAUUCAAUUCCAGGGAAUUAUUCCCUGCUCAGCACCAGCAGCAGGCAGAAACUGCUCCAAUAAAUUGUAUUUUUUUUUUAAUAUUAUUGUAUUUUAAUUUUUCCUCAUUUUUAUUUCCUUUUAUCUGGAUAAAUUUAAUGGGUUUUUCCUUCAAAUCCAAAUUUAAGAGAAACCUCACAAAGCGCAGCCCCCUCCCCUCGCUCUUAUUCCAGGGGAGGAAAAUCUCCAAAAUUCCUUGGGAAUUUGGGAAUUUUUGCUGCCGCGGUUCCCGGGUUUGGUUGGGAAUUCCCGGCCAGGAAAGAUCCAAAACUCUGCAGCGGCUCCUAGAGGAGCCUGAGCCCCGGAGGAGCCGCCAGGCUGGAAAACCCCGCCCAAAAUGGAAUUUUCUCCUCCCAAAAAGGAUUUUUCUCCUCCCAGGACGGAUUUUUCUUAUUUUUCUUCUCCCAAGAGAAAUUUCGUCCUCCCAGAAUGGAUUUUCCUUUUCCAGAUUUUCCUUGUCCCAGAAUUUUCCCCCUCCCAGGAUGGAUUUUCUCCCUUUAAAACAGAUUUUCCUUCUCCCUGAAUGGAUUUUCCCCCUCCCAAAAUGGAUUUUCCUCCUCUCAAACUGGAUUUUCCCCCUCCCAGGAUGGAUUUUCCUCCUCCCAGGAUGGAUUUUCUCCCCUUAAAACAGAUUUUCCUUCUCCCUGAAUGGAUUUUCCUCCUCUCAAACUGGAUUUUCCCCCUCCCAGGAUGAAUUUUCCUCCUGAAGGGCCCAGGCAUCGCUGAAGGCCCCGUUCCCUCAGGGAUGCACCAGCCCCUCCCUCAUUCCCAAGGAAAAACAACCACAAACUCCAAAAAAGCCAAAAACCAAAAAAAUCCAGAUCUUUUUAUUUCCUGGAGCUCCAGUGACACAACCAGAGCUGCAUUUCCCACCCGGAUCCUGCAUUGGGAAACAGGGAAGAAAACACUUAAAAAUAACAAUAAUAAUUUCAUUUUUGCCGAGGCAAAAAAUCCAAAUAAUACAAAAGGGAUUAAGAACUGGGAAAGUUCCUCAUCCUCCCUUGAAGAGCUCUGUGCGUUUGUGGCGGCCAAAGCAGCAGAAGUGGGGCAGAAACGGGGCCAAAAUCCGGAAUUUCAGCUCAGAACUGCAGCACAAAUUCCAAAGGCAAACCCGGGAGGGGUUUGGGGAGGGAAUUUCCCUGCAGAUGCAGCAGCAGCAGCUGGGAAAAUGCAAAUAUUCCUGCUGCAGGUGAAAAUUGGGAUUAUGAGAACUGGGCUGGUUUUGUGGGAUACCCAGGGUGAUCCAAGUGGAUUUUCCUCCUCUCAGAAUGGAUUUUCCUUUACCCAGAAUGGAUUUCCCUCAGAAUAAUUUUCCUUUUCCCAUAAAGGAUUUCCCUUCUCUUAAAAUUGAUUUUCCUUUUCCCAUAAAGGAUUUCCCUCCUCUUAAAAUUGAUUUUCCUUUUCCCAUAAAGGAUUUCUCUCCUCCCAGGAGGGAUUUUCCUCCUCCUAGGAUUUGCCCACUCCCAGCCUGAGGAGGAGCCAAUUCCCGACAGAUCCCGGCUGGUUUUUAUUUCAAUUUUGUUCCCAUUCCUCGGGAGGUUCCCAGGGAUCUCCCCCUCUCCCAGCAUCCCUAUCCAGGAUUUUUGUGUGUCCCUACUCCCAGGUUACUCCGAGGAGGAGCUGAGGUGCAACCAAGGCAGAAAUACCCCAGGAGCACCCGGAGGAAGAGGAGGAAGAGGAGGAAGAGGAGGAAGAGGAGGAAGAGGAGGAAUUCCAGAGGCUGCACCCAAAGCUGGAAUCACCCACAUUAUCCCACAUUUUCUCCCUUCAGCAUCACAUUCCCAAAAUUCCACCUCCACGGGAAUUUUCCGGGCAGUUCCGGCUCUGGGAGGGACUCUCCAGGUUCUCAAGGAAAAAAUUCCCAGCUCUGGGAGCUCCAAUCCCACCAAAUCCGGGAGGAUCCAGCGGGAUUUUCCCACUUUAAGGCACAGGGAUUCGCUCACAAAGACACAAAAAAAGGCAGCAAAAAGCUCAUUUCACACUGGGAUCCUCCCCACAAGGCACACGGGGCAUUCCAGAGGGAAUCCUGGAUUUUCCUGCUCCAAAAACUGCGGGAAAAGGAUGGAACGUGCUCAGUGUCACCCCAAAAAUCACCCCUGGCUGAGGGGGCAGCUCCAGGGCCACAUUCCAGCCCCAGGGAUCCCAAAAAUCCCCCCUUGGCUGCUGAUCUUCCAAGGAAGCAGGAAAACCAUGGAAUUCAUUGGGAAGGAUGGAAUUUAUCCCUGGAUUCAAACAGGAAUUCCUGGAACUGGAAUUUGCACAUCCAGGCUCCCAAAAAUCCCUCCUGAUGUCCCCAAGGAGCAGCUGGAGGACGGGAAUUGCUUUGGGAAAGCUGGAGCAGGACAGGCAGGGAGCCUCCCACCCUUCCCACUCAGCAUUCCAGGCAGGAAAACCAAACCCAGGGAAUGAGGAGCUCCUCCAGGUUGGGUUUUCCCUCUCCAGGUGGGAUUUUUGUCCCUCCAGGUGGGAUUUUUCCCCUCCAGGUGGGAUUUUUCCCUCUCCAGGUUGGGUUUUCCCCUCUCCAGGUUGGGUUUUUCCCCUCCAGGUGGGAUUUUUGUCCCUCCAGGUUGGGUUUUUCCCCUCUCCAGGUUGGAUUUUUGUCUCUCCUGGACAGGGAUGAGCAGCAGUCUCUUGCCAAGCCCAGCCUGGGAGGUGCCUUUGGAUCUGCACCGGGAUUUUCCCCAGGAUUUGGGGCUCCUUUGGAGCUGCCAGGAUCUCUGUAAACAGCAGCUCCAGGACCUCCCUUUCCCGGGAGCAGAGCAGCUCCAGGCACCCCUGGGAUCCCAGGAGAGGUCCUGGGAUGGGAUCAGAUCCCUGGCAUGGGAUCAGAUCCCUGGGAUGGGAUCAGAUCCCUGGCAUGGGAUCAGAUCCCUGGCAUGGGAUCAGAUCCAUGGGAUGGGAUCAGAUCCCUGGCAUGGGAUCAGAUCCCUGGCAUGGGAUCAGAUCCAUGGGAUGGGAUCAGAUCCCUGGGAUGGGAUCACAUCCCUGGCAUGGGAUCAGAUCCCUGGCAUGGGAUCAGCCCUCCAGGGAGGAAAAAGUGGGAAUGAACUCCGGGAGGGUGAAGGCUGCUCUGCUGUCACACCCCAUUAAAAUGUACCUUUAAUGAGUUUAAAUUGCAAAAUAAAAUUGGUUAAAAAUCUACACCUUCAAGAGUGGAAAAAAACAGGAUUGAGUUUUCCCUCCUCUCCCCCACAAAGGGAUUUUGGGAUCGUUUUCCCAAAGUGUUGUCCCCACUCCGUGUCCCCUCAAGGGGCUCCCACGUACCUUGACACCCAGAGGAGAACCCUUUAAUUGCCCCCUGGGUAAUUAAAGCCAAUCUGGCCAUAAAAUCAAUGAUUUUGGGUCUUCCUUACACAGGAGGCAAGACCUGAGCCCUUUUUUAAACAGCUUUGCACCCAGCUGUAAAAGCAUUUAAAAACCCACUCGACUGCCUACAUAGAAAAAUAAAGGAUAAACAUUAUCCAGCUAUUUUAUAUUUAUAUAAAAAUUAACUUCUGUGCCAGGACAUUUUUGUUUCUUUGCUGCAAAAAUAAAAUAAUAAAAAUUGAAAAAAAAUCCCAAAAAGCAGCUUAGGUUGGAUCACCUAAACCUUCAACAAGGAGUGAACUCCAGCUUGCAUCUUAUUUCCCAGAAAAGGAGCAGUUUGCAAGUUCACUGCUGCAAAAUAAAGUUAUUAAAUAUAUAUAUAUAUUAAUAUAAAAGUCUGUAUAAACUCUUCUUUUCGUUGGUGUUGUUUAAGGAAGGGAAGGGGGCACUGAGUGACCGGGAAUUCCAUGGGGACACUCAGUGACAGGAAUCCCUGGGGACACUCAGUGACAGCAAUCCCAGGGCUCAGAGUGACCAGGAAUCCCUGGGCUCAGAGUGACCCUGGGGACACUCAGUGACAGCAAUCCCUGGGGACACGCAGUGACAGCAAUCCCCUGGGGACACUCAGUGACCGGGAAUCCCUUGGGGACACACAGUGACAGCAAUCCCUGAGGGACACACAGUGACAGCAAUCCCUGGGGAUACUCAGUGACCAGAAAUCCCAGGGCUCAGAGUGACCCUGGGGACAUGCAGUGACAGCAAUCCCUGGGGACACUCAAUGACCAGAAAUCUUGGGGAUAGUCACUGACAGGAAUCCCAGGGCUCAGAGUGACCCUGGGGACACUCGGUGACAGCAAUCCCAGGGGACACUCAGUGACAGCAAUCCCAGGGCUCAGAGUGACCAGAAAUCUUGGGGACACGCAGUGACAGCAAUCCCUGGGGACACUCAGUGACCAUGAAUCCCUUAAGGACACUGAGUGACAGCAGUCCCAGGGGACACUCGGUGACAGCAGUCCCUGGGGACAGCAGUGAC